GCCCAGCCGUAAACUUUUACUUACAUCCAUAUUGCCCGGGAACUACGAGCUAAGCUUAAAACCCAAAGGACUUGACGGUACCCCAUAUCCCCCUAGAGGAGCCUGUCCUAUAAUCGAUAAUCCACGUCUAACCUCACCAUUUUUAGUUAGUCAGCCUGUAUACCUCCGUCGUCAGCUUACCACGUGAGCGCCAAUUAGUGAGCCUAAUGAUAUUUCACCAAUACGUCAGGUCAAGGUGCAGCAAAUAAAAUGGGAAGAGAUGGGCUACACUUUCUACUCAUAGAAGAAACGAAAAACUACUUAUGAAACCUAGUUGGAAGGCGGAUUUAGCAGUAAAAAGGAACUAGCAUGUCCAUUUUAACUCGGCACUGGGGUGU
rnacentral:rRNA from 1 species